rnacentral:rRNA from 1 species
UACGAAGGGAGCUAGCGUUGUUCGGAAUCACUGGGCGUAAAGCGCACGUAGGCGGAUGUGUCAGUCAAGGGUGAAAUCCCGGAGCUCAACUUCGGAACUGCCUUUGAUACAGCACGUCUUGAGUCCGAUAGAGGUGGGUGGAAUUCCUAGUGUAGAGGUGAAAAUUCGUAGAUAUUAAGGAAGAACACCGGUGGCGAAGGCGGCUCACUGGCCCGAUACUGACGCUGAGGUGCGAAAGCGUGGGGAGCAAACAGGG